rnacentral:misc_RNA from 1 species
AGAGCGUGGAUAUUCUUACAUGGUUUGUUUCGCAUAUUCAUUAUAUAUUUUGAUGUCUUAUAUUGUUAUUUUUUUCAUUGCAUAGUGAGGAAUGAUUGCUUUUGCAAUGGCCAAAAAAUUGUUGUUUUGUUGCUGUGAUAUGGGAAUGCCAAUUUGGCAAAAUUUUAACCGUUGAGUUGCCCUUGAAUUUUUUUACAUUUGAUGUAAUUCUUUAUUUUUAUUUAAAUGGGAAAAAAAAGUAGACCUUGUAUUUUUAGUGGUGGAUUUCUUGGGCGUUCUAGAAUGAUGUUUGAUUUCAAAGGUGUUAUUCUUCAUUUUCUAUUCAUAUCUUAAAGUCAAAUUUUUCAAGUUUGACAAGUAAUUAUGCUAAAUAAGACUUUUCCUCAGGACAUUAUUGAGGUUUGC